rnacentral:rRNA from 1 species
CCCUUAGAUGUUCUGGGCCGCACGCGCGCUACGCUGACGGAGGCAGCGAGCAUGUCCUUCGCCGAGAGGUGUGGGGAAUCUUGUGAGUCUCCGUCGUGCUGGGGAUAGAUGGUUGCAAUUGUCGAUCUUGAACGAGGAAUUCCUAGUAAGCGCGAGUCAUCAGCUCGCGCUGAUUACGUCCCUGCCCUUUGUACACACCGCCCGUCGCUGCCCGGAACUGAGCCGUUUCGAGAAGACUGAGGAUUGCUGACUUGAGGCCUUCACGGGCUUCUAGUCGGUGAAAAUCAAUUUAAUCGCAGCGGCUUGAACCGGGCAAAAGUCGUAACA